GCAGUUCGGAAACGCCGUGAGGGGGCGGGGUUACGCGAAGCCCGCGUUCGGCUCUGAUUGGCUGCUUUGCCGUUGCGCGCCGGAUCUGUCGCCAUCACGCAUGCGCCGCCGUGACAGGAGAUUGGCGACUUGGUGUUUGUGGGGUUUCUGUUACGGUUUCUCUCAGGGAAAGAAGAACUCGGGCUCCAGGCUUCGUUUGUGUGUGUAGGCCCGACUCCCCGCGUUCCCUCAUGGCUCCCCGGCUGCAGCUAGAGAAGGCCGCCUGGAAAUGGACCGACACUGUCAGACCGGAGGAGGUUGGGCAGGAGCACAUAGAGGCUGCUUAUCGGGUCCGCCUGGAGCCCUGUGUCCGCGGCAUAUGCAGGAGAAACUGCAAAGGGAACCCAAACUGUUUAGUUGGUGUUGGGGAGCACAUCUGGUUGGGGGAGAUUGAUGAAAACACCUUCCAUAAUAUCGACGACCCAAACUCCGAACGAAGGAAAAAGAACACGUUUGUGGGGCUGACAAAUCUUGGAGCCACCUGUUACGUCAACACAUUUGUCCAAGUGUGGUUCCUGAACAUGGAGCUGCGCCGGGCGCUGUAUCUGUACGAGAACUCAUGGAGUGCCGAGAAGGCCGAGCAGUGCAUUCAGGAAGAUAAAGAAUAUGAACCGCAGACAAUCUGCGAGCACCUCCAGUACCUGUUUGCUCUGCUACAGAACAGCAACAGAAGAUACAUCGACCCCUCCAGUUUCAUAAAAGCUUUGGGACUAGACACCGGGCAGCAGCAGGAUGCUCAAGAAUUUUCCAAACUCUUUAUGUCACUGCUGGAAGACACAUUGUCAAAACAGAAAGAGCCAAUUGUUAAAAACAUCAUUCAAGAGCAGUUCUGUGGGCAAUACGCCUACGUCACCAUAUGCAGCCAGUGUAGCAGGGAAUCCAGGCUGGUAUCCAAAUUCUAUGAGCUGGAGUUGAAUAUCCAAGGACACAAGCAGCUAACGGAAUGUAUUGCAGAGUUUCUCAAGGAGGAAAAGCUCGAAGGUGACAAUCGCUACUUCUGUGAGAACUGUCAGAGUAAGCAGAACGCGACCCGGAAGAUCCGAUUGCUUGAUCUCCCCCCGACGCUGAAUCUCCAACUCAUGCGCUUUGUGUUCGAUAGGCAAACCGGUCAUAAGAAAAAACUGAACACUUAUAUUGGUUUUUCUGAGACACUUGAUAUGGAUCCCUACCUCGACCAGACAGAUGGUACAUAUUCCUAUGAACUGAGUGCAGUUCUCAUACAUCGAGGGGUGAGUGCAUACUCGGGCCAUUAUAUUGCUCAUGUCAAGGACCCACAGACAGGCGAGUGGUACAAAUUUAACGACGAGGACAUAGAAAAGAUGGAAGGGAAGAAGCUGCAGCUUGGAAUUGAGGAAGAUCUAGAACAAUCCAAAACGGCGCCCCGCAAACCCAAAUGUGGCAAAGGAAUCCACUGUUCUCGCAAUGCCUACAUGUUAGUCUAUAGGCUAAAGACGGUUGAAAAACAAGAUGUUACUUUCGAAGUUCCAGCUUUCCUACAGAAGCUGGUGGAACUGGAUAACUGCAAGUUUGAGGAGUGGUGCGUGGAGAUGGUGGACAUGCGUAGAGAAAGCGUAGACAAAGGCAAAGCCAAACACGAGGAGGUGAAGGAGCUGUACCAGAGGUUACCAGCUGGAGCUGACAGUGCCUACGAGUUUGUGCCCCUCGAGUGGCUCCAGAAAUGGCUGGAUGAGUCCACUCCAACCAAACCCAUUGACAACUCCAAGUGUCUGUGUUCCCAUGGGAAGCUGCACCCCGAUAAGAUCUCCCUCAUGAAGAGAAUUUCUCAGCACGCAGCAGAUAUCUUCUACAAGCGGUAUGGGGGCAGCCCUCGCCUGACUGAUGAUGCUCUCUGCAAGGACUGUGUGGUAGAAAGAUGCAGGGUUCUGCGCUUGAAGAACCAACUGAAUGAAGAUUACAAAUCGUUAACUAAUAUGGUUAAGCUUCCAGUGGAGAGCAAUGAAGGCUUCUGGAUUGGAAAAAGCUCACUGCGCCGCUGGCGUCAGUUGGCAACCGAGCAGCUUGACCAGCAGGAAGAGGACUUAGCCCAGGGCGAUUGGAAAGUAAAUGGAGAAUCCCCAAAGGCCUGCGAGGAGGGGAUAGAUGAGGAAAAGAAGGAAGCGGAUUCUGAGCUUGGGUUUAACGAAGAUAUUAUUUGUCAGCACGGGGGUCUGAGCAUUUCGGAGAGUGAGAGGAGGCUGAUCUCUGAAGCAGCCUGGUACAAGCUGAAGGAGUAUUUUCCUACGGCGCCUGAGUUCCGGCACAGCCAGGAGUCCUGCUCCCAGUGCAAGGUUCUGGAACAGGAAGGGGAGAGGCACGAAGCUCUGCAUAAGAUGAUGGCAAAUGACCAGAAGACGGCACUUCCCAACCUGUUUCAAGACAAGAACAGACCAUUACUGGGGAGCUGGCCUCAGGAUACGGCCGAGUUCUUCGUUGUGUCUCAGUUCUUUGUGGAAGAAUGGAGAAAGUUCAUUAGGCGACCCACAAAAAGCAACCCAGUCAUGUCUAUAGGGAACAGUCUACUUCUCUGCCCCCAUGGGGGUCUCAUGAUCUCCUUUACCAACAUGACUAAGGAGGACGCCAAACUUAUAGCUCCCAUAUGGCCUGCAGAAUGGGACGCUAUCCAGAAACUCUUUAUUGUCGACCACACAAUCAAAAUCAGCCGAACGGUUGUAACCAGGGAGGACAGGACAUUUACUGUCGACUAUGAAUCAGACCCCAAGCUGUGCCCAGACUGUAGGGAAGGAUUGCUGUGCCAGCAGCAGAGGGAUCUGCGGGAAUACGCUCAGGCCACAAUCUACAUUCACAAAGUUGUGGAUCGGAAGAAGGUAAUGAAGGAGGUGGCGCCGGAGCUGAACGUCAGCAGUUCUGACCUGGAGGAUGAGAAAGAUGAACCCAGAGCAGAUGGGGAGACUGACCCUGACUUUAAUCAGGUGAACGGAACGGCUAAAAGACAGAAGUUGUCCGGCCAAGGGCACGUAUCUACCCAGAAGCAGGGGGUCCGGCGAAGCACUCGGCAUAGGAAAGUGCGGGGGGAGAGGGCGUUGCUGGUCUCAGCCAAUCAGACCCUGAAGGAACUGAAAAUACAGAUUAUGCACGCUUUCUCUGUGGCGCCGUUUGAUCAGAACCUGUCGAUAGAAGGCAAAAUCCUGAGCGAUGAUGCAGCCACUCUGGGGAAUCUAGGAAUUGUUCCGGAAUCGGUUAUUUUACUAAAGGCUGACGAGCCGAUGGCAGAUUAUGCAGCUAUGGAUGACGUGAUGCAAGGUUAGAGGGAUUGGCCACUGGGCUCGGUAUCUUUGGGUUUGUAUGCCGGAGGAAGGAUUUAAAGGAACCGGUCUUCUGGGGCAUUAAUCCGCGGGGGGGCCCCGGGGCAAUGACACGACGACGGUGAGCAGAAAGCGGAUCUUGGCUCUUCCACAAGGCGGGGAUCCUGUCGGGCUGAGCAGCUUCUCUUCCACUCACAUCUCCCACCCCGAAUGCCUUACACCCCCCGGAGCGCGUUGCACCGAGGGAGCGCCGCCGCCACCGGGCCACUUUUCUAUGUAAAUACCGGGGGGCCGGAGAGUUUAUCCGCCGAGGAGCCCAUGCCAUAGAACUUGUUUACAUACAGAUAUAAGGGACUUUUCUCCCCACGUCAGUGCUUUCUAUCAUAUCGGGGGGGGGGCCCUCAGAACUGGGGCGCGGGCCCCGGCAUUGCGUUUCUCUUGUGUAGCACCAAUAAGCUAUGUAAGAUGUGUCGUUCAUUCUGAUAUUAAACUAUUCAUGGGUUUGCCUCAUCCCAUGGGUCCUUUUUAUAAA